rnacentral:rRNA from 1 species
AGCUCCAAUAGCGUAUAUUAAAGUUGUUGCGGUUAAAAAGCUCGUAGUUGGAUCUCGGCGGGUAGGGGGCGGUUCGUUAUCCGACGUUACUGCCCCAUUUAUCCGUGUUUUUGACAGAGGGUUGGGGGUCCCCUUUACCGGGUGUCUCUGGUCGCUGUCAGGUUUACUUUGAAAAAAUUAGAGUGCUCAAAGCAGGCUAUCAAAGCUUGAAUAUUCGUGCAUGGAAUAAUAGAAUAGGAAGUCGUUUCUAUUUUGUUGGUUUUCGGAAAUUGACUUAAUGAUUAAUAGGGACAAUUGGGGGCAUUAGUAUUCGGACGCUAGAGGUGAAAUUCUUGGACCGUCUGAAGACUAACUACUGCGAAAGCAUUUGCCAAGAGUGUUUUCA